AGCAUUAAAUUAUGGACUUUGUGGCUACUUAAAAAUUGUAUGCCCAAAUUUAUGGUUCAAAACAAGCAUAAAUCAAUAUUUUCAACUCAUAGAAAAUCAAUUAAAUUUAACUAAGAAGAGCGGCAUACGGAGAAUUGUAAAAUUUAAAUGGUUUUCAGCAGCACAGAAGCCUCAUAAAUUUUAAGACGCCAAAAUUUAAAAGUGUUCAAAGCUCAACUGAAAUUCGUUCCCUUUGCAAACGCAAAUUGCAUGUAUUAGACAAUCGAUUUGUUUGCGGAGUAUGGUCAUUGAUUUUCGGCCUCUGUUUUUGCUGCUCUGGCCAAUUGUUGCCACAAUUUGUUAAUGCAAAAGGCGAAAGGCAAAAUAUCGGAUAUGGCGGACCGACUUCAGAGCUCCAAUUCGAGUUUAGUCUGUGAUUUGCGGUAUGUGUUUGUGCAGCGAUGGCGAAACAAUUUUUGUGGUCAAGAGCCUUUCACCAAGCAAGAGGAAUAAAGAGGCGAAGAAUGGAGUAUGGAGUACGGUCCGAGUUCAUAGCUCAUGAACUCUCCUUUUCCCGGAGAUACCCACUUGGGGCUGGUCAUGUUUUCGCCCCCUUUUCGGCCCGGCUAAUACUGUAAGCCAAGCCCCGUUCUUCCCCUUGCCCGGAAAAUUAGUUCAGCCCUUGGCUCGGCUCUUAUUCCUGUUUAAAGAAUGCUUUCUAUGGUUUUGUUUUACGUUCCUUUGCUUCGUAUAUUCCCUCUACUCCUGACUGACUGUUUGGGGUUUCCCUCUGGUCGGAAAUGGGGAAUAAAUGGUUGCUGAGACUUCCAAUCAGCGUACAUUCCUAUCUGUCAAUGGCAAAUCAGUCAAAGCUACAUAACUGUAUCCAUCAAGAGGAAUUACGUUCCCAGAUACAGAAGUAUCUCAAAGUGUUUGGCUGCUAAUGCUAAUGAUAUGCAAGGCUGGCAAAUAGCUAAAAAGGAGCAGCGAUUGGGAAGCAGAAAUCUUCAGCGAGGUGACAGAUAAGAAAAGCCUGUAGAACUGGACAAACUCUACAGCUCGACACUCGGAAUCUGGGCCUUUUGGCAGGAGCUGCUUCCCCAAUUAGCCUCUUGCAAAAUAAAUGGAAAUUUAAAAUAUGGAGUGAGUGCGGCAACCCAUACACAAUAAAGUAAGUGACAGCUUUUGAAGACAAAAACUCUGGCGAUAUUUACUUAUGAGCAGCUCAGACUUGGCAUCCGAAUGCUUUCAUAUCCUCAACUCCAGUGCAGUGAGAAAAAAUAAGUUCGUAAGCAAGCAGUAUCUUUUUAUGGGCAUUUUAGGUAAUUUUGGAUAAUGUUAUACCUUUAAUCAUAGAUAUUAGCCAAUAGGAUAAUGAGGAAUACCUCAUACAUAGAUUGGUAACAUUAUGGGGCUAGAGUUUAUAUUUUUUGUGGUUAAUCAUCUUGAAUGUUUGUCUAGAGAUGUCGGAAUUUCUUUCUCUGUGACUACCUGUUCCGAAUUCUGAAGGGGUGGCAGUUUUGUCUGAUUGGGGGUGUCUGGGGUUCUGCACACACACACACUCGCCCACCGACUGUCGGAGUCUCGGAUUACAUGCUGGCAGCCCUUUUUGAUGGAUGGAUGGAUGGGUGGGCGCAUUCCGUUUCCCUUUGCUUACUUACUUCAGCAGAGCAGCGGACACAGAACAGAAAACUGGUUGUCGCCGGCGGAGUGAAGAAUCGUGUGAGCAAACCAGGAGAUCAGUGCAAGUAGAGGAGGUGAGGGAACUGGAGGAGGAGUGGGACUGCCAGGGGGGUCGGGGGACAGUCGAGUGACAGUUGGCACGGAAGUGGUUUUGAUUUAAUGCCGCUUGGCGCUGGAUGACGCAAGAUAAACAGAUGCUACCCGGCGAAGAACAGGUGUCGACAGGUGGGAGAAGCAGCGCGAGAAAGGUAGAUGAGAGAAAGAGGGCGAAACUAAAGUCGAUUAGGAAACCUUAAAUGGGUAUCGGAAAAGAAGCACCUUUUAUGAUGUUAUGAUUCAUUUGGCGACUGCCCAAAUCAUUGCCUCAUUAUAAAUUCAAGCUAAUCUGCAGUCCAAGUAGAUAUAAAAUGUUCAGCAGUGAAAAAGGCCAUGGCAGAAUGUUCAUUAUUAAAGCUGAAGUUUGCUGAACAAAUUAAGAACAACUUUUACAGCUUCCCUGUAUGUUUUAAAUCGAUCUUCUUUUUAGCCGUUUGAGCUUCCUCCCCUGCAAACAUUUCACGCACUUUUGAUUGUUCUUGUGCGGUUUAUCUAAUUUGUAAUUGCUGCCGAAAAUGAAAUUCCGAAACAGAGGAAGGCCAAACCACAGAAUACAAUCACAGCAAACGAAUGGCUGGUACUCGAGGACUCAAGGACUAGGGCUGAUGGCGAAUUUUCGUAGGGAGCAUCAGGAAACGGCAGCAGACAAAAUAAAUCCCCCCACUGGGCAUACUUGUGGCUUAUUGGCAAUCAAAUUUGGCACAGAGCUCGUGUCUAAGCCAAGGAAAAUGAAGGCAGCGACACAGUGGAACAGGGUGGAAAUGUGUAAGUGGCAGGCUGGAGUUUCGGCUGAUUAGCAUAAUUGACUUUGUGUUAAAUUUAGCAUUUAAUUAAUGCGACUGCAGAGCUAGCGACCAGCUAGCCCAUAUGUAACGCCAAGGUGAUCCCCAACCCUCGAAUCGGUUUGCAAACUGGCGAUUUGUAAACGCAGAUUUAGGGAAACACCAACCAACGAUUUUUCAGGCGAUUGUUGUUCCUCCUUUUUGGUGCUCAGCCUGGCACACACAUGUGCUCCAGUUUCAAGCCCGAAACUCUCCCUCAGCUCGCCGGCACUUGAACAAAGCCCGGCCAUAAUUGACUUUUCCAGCAGCAGACGCCGGCGGGCAAGCCACAACCACUUAACACCUCCCAGCCACCCACAAACAAAGCGGAUGGAAGAAGGAAAGGCGUUCUAGAAAACUUUGGGCCAACCCCUCGGCAAAGCACUUAACAUGUUCAUCAAUUGCGCCCGUCUUCUCCGCCUCUGCCCCCCAAUUUUCCGGCCCAGAGCCGCACAUACAGCAGACACCCGACAAAGUGUCCCGGCUUACAGUGAAGCCUGGCAAUGGAAAAUAGAGCAGGUAGGAAUCCCGCUGGGGGUCGACAGUGGAGGUGGUAGAAAUCUGGCCAAGCCAAAACAAUGCAGAGCUCCACAGCAAGGGGAAGAAGCCGGAAACCCACUGAGAGCGCCGAGAAAUUGUUUGGCGACAGGAAAAGCAGCCAGCAAAAGUGGAACACAUUUCAGCACUGUGAAAAAUAGGUGCAUUUGUAUAUGGAAGCAACUAAAAUAUUUUAUUAGGACUAAAGUAGGUUGAUAUACUUAUAGGUUCGAUUUAUAUAAAAUGUAUGUUCCCUCUAGAAAGAAUGUGCUUAACAAUAAAGAGCCAUUUAUAAUUUAUAGUUUAGUCCAAACUUGAACAGAUUUUCUGCCGGUGCAGCGCAGAGGGAGUUGGCUGACAGCGACGCCUACGCAAGAGACGCUGUAAUUUGUUAGAUGCGCCACGCCAAAUGACAAAGCCAAAGCCAAAGCCAAGUCAAGGCCCCAAGAGGUUGGGGCUGUAACUCAAGCGGAGCUUGAAGAAGCGCUGUCUGCGAUGUAGGCGAUCAAAAAUGUGGCAAGCUAAGUUUGGUCAGAGUCUAGACAAGAAUCUUAGCUAAUGAAUGUCAUCGCAAAGAACUAGUUAAACCAGUUUAAGGCGCACUCGCGGCUUGAAAAGAACUUCAAACGGAUGACUUUUGGGCCUUUGAAGAAUCUCCCAGGGGCACUACAUUUAAUACCAUACAAGAAAGGUGUUUUGCACUUUUCCUCGGGGAAUAUAUUUCCCGGGUGAUGGCAAACCAGUUUGGUUAUUAAGCAUUGUACACUAAAAUUGUUAAUGUAGUUUACUUGGACUUCCUUGUACUUGACAGAACUAUAAAUGAGCAAUACCUUAAAACUUAAAAAAUGUUUUACCUUCCCCUAAAACUAAAAAAUAACAAAAUAUCAGGUCAUUAGCUCGCUCUUGGUAAUUUUUGUGAGCAUGACAUCUCUAUGUGAUCUUUGCGAUCUCUGCGAACCAAAGCCAUGAUUAAUUUGCCUUUUUGGCCGCACACGCUGAUCGCUCGAAUGGCAGAGAGCUGGAAGGUUUCCUCACUCAACGCGGUGUCAAAUGCAAAUGGGACCCCGCUCGAGUUGAUGAACACUUUGUGGAAGUUUAUGCAAAUGACCAGUUGUUGGAGUAGCUGCAUAAGUAUCCGCAUAAUUACCCAUAAUGAGUAGAAAAUGGAAAGUAUCUGACGAGUGGGUUAAGCAAACUGUGGUUGAACGACCAAGGGGAUUGAAAAUGCGCUGCUAAGUCAGCGGUGAUUUUCCCAUUGUCGGUCAUCGAUUGGCGGCUUUCCAGUGAAGCAUAUGACUAUAGGUAUGUGUAGUUAUUACCAACUCGAGGUGUAAACGGAUACAGAACUUUGGCAAGGAAGGGGUAAUACGUUGCGCAAAUUUGCAUGGCGUCAACAGGUGGCUCGCUGCAAACCGAAGCGCGAAAUCUAUUUAUUUAGCUACACAUUUCGCUUUGUUUUCGUCUUGCUCUCAACUUGAGCCAACUUAAAGCACUUGGGCCACAGUUUUGUAGACUCUUACUUCUCGGCUCCGGCAAUGUCAGCUCACUCGGCUUUUAGCUGCACUUCAAAUCAUCGACUGCCUGACUGGAAACCAACUGCGGCUGCAGCCAAAAUGCAAAUCUAUGUGAUGCAACAACAGUCAAGCUCAGCACAAAAGCGCCUCCUCUCGUUCGAUCUUCAAUGGCUGCUCAACUCAAGUCGACUUGACUUGGCUCUGGAGUUGGAGCUGGAGCUUCAGCUGGGGGCAAGCAAAAAAAGACUGGGCCCGCGGCAUCGGAUACUUUGUAAUAAUCUCCACUAACAGUUGGAAAUACUCGCCGUACACAACACAUAAAUAUCUUCAUAUGAUGUGGCUCGGGCGAACGAAUGGCUUUCUGAUGAUAAUGAUGAUGAUGAUGAUGACGAGGUUGCCGGCAGUCUAUCAAUGCAGUUUACCCAUUAGAGAUGGCUUCGUGAAUGGGAAGGAUGUAUAAAAUAAAUCAGUCCAACUUCGUUACUACUUUAUUUAGUUUUUUCUGAAUCAUUAGAUUCUAUUAAGUCGUGUAGUUUAUUUAAAGUUGAAUUCAUAUGGAAUUCCACUUUAGUGCUGCAUCACUUUUCCGACUGAAUUUCACUUUCAAAUGAUUUUUAUGGAUUUAAGAAUUUAGUUUGCGCUUCUGCUGCAUUCCCCUUUUACGCACUGCCAUCACUACGAGUUGUUUGCGUAUAUUGCCAUUUGUCAUUUCCCGCUGAUUUCCAUUGUUUUUCACCAAAGCCAUUGUCUUCUUCAUCGCUGCGCUUGGAGUUGUAGCCACAUCCACUGGUAUUCGAGUUCGGAUUAGUAUACAGAUUCGUUUUGCUUUAUUUUUCCACCUUUUUUUUGCUGAGCGGCGCGUCAGAAACUCGUGCAUGGGGAUCAAUCUCUCCAUUAGACUCGUCAUCGCAGCUUGAGACCCUCUGCACCUCGACUGCCAGUCGGUUAUUGCAUUGUAAAGACAGAAGGCGACAGCCACAAUGGCAAUGUAAUGAUGUUUGCGUCAUGAGCGGCAUUUCUAGCUCAAGAGUGUGGAGUAUCGCUAUAUCUACAUAUCUACUUAUAUCCAAGUAUCCAAGUAUCUCUGUAUCUCUGUAUCUUUGUAUCCGCUGUCGUGCACUUGUAGAGCUCCGCUGUUCGUCGCCCUUCGCUCAAGCGUCUCACAUUUCGCAUUUGCGGGUACUACGAGUGUUGUGUAAUAUAUGUAGGACUGCAUUGUUGGUGGCUUGCCGGGAAUUGGGUAACACAUAUGGCCAAUAUCAAAUAUGUACCAGCGCCUCAGACUCAAAACUGAAAACGAAACCCAUGACACGGGAAAUAUAUGAAACUCAUCUCCGCACAUGGAGAUGGAUUGCCGCGUUACAUUUGCAUCUUUUGCAUAGUUUAUCAAUUUAAGGUGCCAUCGGGGCUAAAGCCUUUUGAUAAAUUGCUCAAAACGAAAGCAACGUUUCUGUAUCUGUAUCUGUAUCUCUCAGGUAUCUCUGUGAUGUGUACAUAAAUAUGAAACGAGCCAAAUUCAACAAUCAAUCAGCGGAAGACGACACUCAAUGCAAAUGGCCAAUUUGUUUAUAAAUAAAUGUUUGACAAUUUUUGAGAGGCCAAUAGGUAGGGGGAUGGGGGGUAAAAGCUUUAUGGGCAAAACAAACAAGAAAGCAAAACAAUAUUUGUCUGCAGAUGCAAACAUAUUGAUUCGAAAUUAAAAUUCCCAUCCCAGGACAUUCGAAAUGAAAAUAAACCUCUAUUUAUGAAUAUAUCUUAUGCUACGUAUUUUGAAACUCUUCCAAUUGUUUUUGAAUAUUAAGGAAAAGAAUUAUCAUUUUUGUUGGACUAUGGAGUAGAGUUCAUAAUUUGGUCGAGUGCAUAUGGCUUUCAGUUAAGCACGUGCGCCUACAAUAAAAUUUCGAAAUUUAUUGCCUGGUUACUGUAAAAAUACAGGAUACCUUUUUGGCCACUUCCACCCCUCGAUUCCUUGUAACUCCCUCCCCAAGCACCCAGCUCCUUGACCCCGAUGCAUGUGUGAGUGUGUGUGAGUGCGCGAGUGUAUCCUUGUAUUAAUGUUGCAUGUUCAUUUGGCUUGCGUGCAGGUCUUUCGACGCUUUUGCUCCGACUCAUGCUGGUAGUAAAUUACGGUGGCCGAGCCACCGAACGAAAACGAACCCCUAACCUUGGUUGCAACCCCUGGUUGGUGCUGGCGUAUCCAGAGUUUGGACUGGUUUCCAGGACUCCUGGCUUGCCACUAUUUCCAGGUCCUGCCGUGCCUUGUCCCGCCCCUAAAAACGAGCCGCGCGACAGCUGAUGGCGAUGGUUUCCUCUUUCUGGCCCGCUUCGCAAUUGGUUUUAUGACCACCCAAAGGCCACUGAACCGCACCUUAAAAACGGCGCUAAAGCAAAACGUGGCCAAGUCAGUUUGAUUAAAACUAUACACAGUGCACACGGAGACAGAUACAUACGGGCUACAGUAAUAAAUGGCCAUACAUGGACACAUGGGAGCAGCCGCCUUAGGUCUUCAAAUGCGCUGCUGUCGCUUUUUUUUUUUUCUUUUGGUUCUGUAUUUGGUUGGUAUACCCUUACAUAGCGUUCUAUUAUAAUUCCCAGAAUGUCGACAUUAACGGAGUAAGGGAAAUGUAUCCACACCUUGGUGGAAUAUUUGCGUAUUUUGGAUAAUUCUUGACAAUUCAUUUUAACCUUGUUUUGCUUAUUUUGGUAAAAAAGAAAUAAUUACUGAAACUUAUUCGCUUAUUUGGGAUUAUUGUCAUAAGAAGGUUCUGUUGUGGAAACGAUCGGUUCCAUCCAAUCAUUCCACUCUACCACUAAGAAACCUUUGCGUAAGGGUAUUCCAGAGGUCGACCUUUGCAGCAGUCAGACUUUUCUCGUAUUUUGUAAUGUUUUUUGUUUUAAUAGUCUUGGCUUGACCUCGUCACCGGUUCGCGUUUGGUCCCAGCGCCGCUCCCUUCUUUUGACCCUUUGGCUUCCUCUUUCUCUUCCUGUUCCUGUCGCCCAUCUGUCCGGUCGCCCUCUCUCUGUCGCACCCCCUACCUCGGCCCCUGCCCCUGUUAGGAUAUCCAUCUCUUUCUGGCCGCGUGUGUUUGCCGGGCGGCUGGUUUGUCAUGUUUCAUGUCGGAAGUGGAAAUUAUCCGCAGUGCACUUUGCCAUUGCCAUUGCCCUGGUGACUGACUGGCUACCCACAACCACUCCACCACUUUACCACUCCAGCACUCCGCCCCUCUGCAUCCGUAUCUGUCUCCCUCUGGGCCUCCCUUUUGGCCUUAGCAUUUUGGUUUCGUUUCGUUUCGUUUUCAUUACCCGCUAUCGCAAUCCCCUGGCAAGUCAUUGACACACCUGUGGUGAGCAUUAUCAGGGGCGGAAUGGCCGAAAGGCGAGGUGGGCGGGAGGGAGAGGUUGGGUUAGGUCCCUAACAACCAGGUAAUACAACUCCCCAACCCUCAAUUCCGCGCCCUGAGACUCGCAUUCUCUGGAGAAUUUUGAGCAUUUGCAGGCGGUUUCACCUCAGUGAAUUGCAUUGUUGAUGGCGGAUUGGGUAGAUACACGUACUCGUAUAAACUCGUACAUAGAUAGGUACAGCAUUAGGUGCAUGCAACGAGAUCGUUGGUCGUUUGCCCAACGGGGUCAUUAGAUAUAUAUAUAUAUAUAUAUAUAUUCUUUCAUAAUCAAUAUUUACAAGCGAGAAUUAAGUGCUCUUCUCAAGAAUAAUAGCAACUUUAUAAUACGUAGGUUUAAUGUCAAUGUGUAGGUCAGCUUAGAUCAAGAGAACCCAAAUUGUAAUUGCACUUGGCAAGAACUUUUCAAUCAAAAGCUAGCUGAAAUGUCAGCUACCAGAGCUCCAGGUGAUUAUCUAACUUUCUACUGCCCCCAAAUUAUCCCACCGAACAGAGAACAAUUUUGGAAUCAGUAGUUUCCCAGAACAGAAAUUCCCCCUGGCUAUUAAAGCGAAACACACAAAAGUUCGUUCGAAUAACACUUCCGAAAACCAUUUGCGGUGCUGGCGAUAAUUGUUUGUAACUAGUUACAAACCAGACCCGCACUCCGAUGUGGCGAACCUCAUUACGACUUUGGACAUUCGCCACGCAUUCAGCUCCUUUCAGAACCGAAGAACCUAAUGAUCAUUCGAUUCAUUUCUGGUUUUCAUGGCGGUCGAGAGAGAGAAGUCUCGGCAUAAAUUCAAUUAGAUUUUAUUGAUGAUUGAUUUCUGUUCGUGGGGAGGGGAAAGGAGGGUUAGGAGCACAGCAAUGCGGGGUCAGAGUUUCCCGCGAGAUCUUCCAAGAUCAUUCCCUCUCUUUUUCCUGCAGAAAACAUGCGCUAAUUGUCUUUAAUUCAAUUAGGACACAAGCACACACACACUCACACUCCAUCCCACACUUAACUUCAAUUGCCGUGACCCAACGAGCCACCUCCCCCUGCCCCUCGCUGACACUUCUCUUAGCUGAAUUCAUCAGAUACUCGCACUUAUCCGCCGCAUCGCCUGUUUCCCAUAUGCAUAUAUAUGGAUUUAUGGAUUCGUGAUUAUAUUUCCGCUCCCAAACGCAAAUAAACAAGCACACCGAUAGCCAAACAGUCCAAGUUUAUUGAUAUAGUUUCCUAUGGCUUUCUCUUUCUCCCCCGAUUUGCUGUCUCAUUGCCCGCCUAUUACACACAAAUGCAAGAGAAGUAUUCAUGCAAUUGCCGGCUCUUGUUAUCAGCCUCAUACCUAGAUAUGUAUGAUAUUUAUAUCUAUAUUUGUAUACGAUUCGGUCCUCACUUUUGUCGAUAUUGUAUGUUGUAUAAUGUACGCAAACAGCGCUUGGCCAUCAGCAGUCGAUAGAUAAGUUGGAAUUGGCUCUAGUUUCGACUCGAAUUUCUCCGAAGACAGCUGGCAACACUCCCCGAGCCGCCCAAAACAAACCCCCCUUCUCCAAGCCUUGAGCUCCCCCAUAUAAUCACCCCUCCAACCAUCGAUCAGUUCGCCUUACUGCGCGGCUCGUUAGGCGACCCGUGACGGAUAUUAUUGGGAGGUCUGGGUCGCUGGUCUGGCAUUCGGGGCGAGAAAGAGAGGAACAGCACAUGCAAGUCGAGUGCACUGACAGAAAUUAGUGUGCCUUCCAAAUUUCUUCACUUUCUGAUAAGCAUUAUCUUUCGUCACUACGUAGCUUCCCAAGUAAACUCAUUGCUUUUAACUCGCCUCUGGCCAAAUAAUACGUAUCAAAAUUUUAUGAUUUGUCAUGUUUUGAUGGUACAAUUGAAGCCAUUACUAUUAACUAUUAUGUUUCACCUAAUUUAGAACUUUCUUCGGAUGCCGCCAAUAAACUUCACAUGAAAUGCCCCGAUUUCUCGCUGUGCACGAGCAUGACUUGCCCAAAGUUCGCUUUUCUCCCCCAAGUGAACGCUAUGUACAUAUCUUACUCUCUCGUUUGGGCUUAUUGUUUUAGUUGCCUUGCUCCGCUUCGCUUUGAGCAGCUGCUAUAUAGACGUACAUAUAUACAGAGUCAACAGCGGCUGGGAGAACAACAACUACAAUCUACAUACAGUUCAUUUUAAUUGACAUCGAUAAUUAAAAAACUAUUUUGAGUUCGGCUUUCUGUAUCGCCAAGUUUCCUCUUCGAGCUGAGCUAAGCAGUUUCAGCUUUCAGCAGCGCUCUUUUUUGAUUCCGUGAGCUUGUUUGUUGCUGUUGGCUUUAUGAUCUGUAACCCCAAAAGCCUUUGUCUCACAGAUACUUGCUCUACUUUCCCGGGGUUUCAUUGUUAUUCAGCUGCAACCACUGAAAGGUCGAGGUGCUGGCCACUCGAGAGCCAAACCGAGUCAAGGGCCAAGAUACAAGUUUUGCCCCAAACCCCUUUUGCCUCUUUAGCUAUCUUCUACUUGUAUAUGUGCUGCUGUCGUAAUUGCCCAACAAUUAAUAAAGUUAACCACUUUCGUUGUUUGAUAUCUACCUCAUUGCGCCGUCAAGUGCGACGUUCUGAUUACGAAUCACGGAAAAUAUCUCGAGCUCAUAAAAGUAAGGAACGUUAUAAAAAGCCAAAAGUCGUCUGCCUCUGACACACAUAAUGUAAUCGGUUAUUGGUAUAUUGAUAAAAACAAAAAAAAGAGGGAAACUAGGAAAAGAAAUAAGUACUAUAUAAGGUGCUGUUAUGACUCGGAAGGCGACACCACGAAGUUGGCUUUAGAUAAGAUUUUCUACCUAUACAGUAGCAGUAGUUUAAUUGAACUUAAUUGAAGGUGGUUGAUUGCAGUUCUAGAUUGAAAAGAGCGCCUUUGUUUGGGGUGUUUUUCGGGGACUAAAUUCGGUUGGAAGUUAAAGUGGCGACACCUACCAUUUUCAAAAAUAUAUUUAGCUUAAAUAAAGAGGGCGCUUACUUCCAGCAGUUCUCUCUCAGUUUUUGCUAAUCAUAACGUACUGUGCAUAAGAUAUUCUCAUUCUUCUCUCUAUGAGUCAGUUACACGGAUAUUGUGAUCGAAUAAACUAAGGUCUCUAACUUCCCAGAAGUUAGGUCAUCCACAAGCUUUUCUACUCAUAUCCAAAAACUAUUAGCCGAGUCUAUCCCCUUGAGUAGUUCGUGGAACUAGUCGUCGGAUAUGGAGUAAUGGCCCGGCUUUGGUUCCCACUUCGAAGUUCCCUCCACGGCGAGGCGGCGAUAAGAGUUCUGUUCCCUAGGCAUAAUUUGUGGGUCAAGUACAAAACACUGCCUGCUUGCAGUGGAGCAAUGGAGCAAUGGAGCAAUGGAGCAGUGGGGCUGCUGGAAAUAUUCAGCAUGGUGGUGCGCUCAAUCUUAAAUCGCAAUCGCCAUUUCAAUUUGCACUUUUCAAUUUGUAUUUUUUGAUUUCAAAUUUCGCUAAAUCGGUUUACAAUUUGACGGUGUCUAUUGCUUUUCCAUGGACUUUUAUGCGGUUUUAAUAAAGCCUUUUCAGACUUUUA